UGAACAAAUAGGAAACGAAACUGUGAGGAAACAAGCGCUUGGAAUCACAGAGAGGAGGAACACGUACAGAGAGAGAGAGAGAAAGAAAGAGAGGAUGGAGGGAGGAGAGAGUAAAAAAAUAAUAAUCAUCUAACUUCCGAGCGAAAAAACAACUGAAGUGAGCUGAGAACAAAGGAGGAAAGUGAUAAGAGUGCAAAGGAAGUGAGAUAUUUGAAAAGCAGCUGAAAAAGUGGAACUGCAGCGGAUUAAUCAGGAAUGUUCCUGCAAAAUCAAGACAGAUAUAAGUUCUUUGGAUCCAGUUUGCUUCUGUUGCAAACAGUAACUUCAGCCUUCCAGCUUGAGAUUUGUUUCUGAUACCAAUG